GGGUUGUGAGGUUAAGCGACUAAGCGUACACGGUGGAUGCCCUGGCAGUCAGAGGCGAUGAAGGGCGUGCUAAUCUGCGAUAAGCGCCGGUAAGGUGAUAUGAACCGUUAUAACCGGCGAUACCCGAAUGGGGAAACCCAGUGUGAUUCGUCACACUAUCAUUAACUGAAUCCAUAGGUUAAUGAGGCGAACCGGGGGAACUGAAACAUCUAAGUACCCCGAGGAAAAGAAAUCAACCGAGAUUCCCCCAGUAGCGGCGAGCGAACGGGGAGGAGCCCAGAGCCUGAAUCAGCAUGUGUGUUAGUGGAAGCGUCUGGAAAGGUGCGCGAUACAGGGUGACAGCCCCGUACACAAAAGCGCAUGUGCUGUGAGCUCGAUGAGUAGGGCGGGACACGUGGUAUCCUGUCUGAAUAUGGGGGGACCAUCCUCCAAGGCUAAAUACUCCUGACUGACCGAUAGUGAACCAGUACCGUGAGGGAAAGGCGAAAAGAACCCCGGCGAGGGGAGUGAAAAAGAACCUGAAACCGUGUACGUACAAGCAGUGGGAGCACCCAGGUUUACGCUGGUGUGACUGCGUACCUUUUGUAUAAUGGGUCAGCGACUUAUAUUCUGUAGCAAGGUUAACCGUAUAGGGGAGCCGUAGGGAAACCGAGUCUUAACCGGGCGUUAAGUUGCAGGGUAUAGACCCGAAACCCGGUGAUCUAGCCAUGGGCAGGUUGAAGGUUGGGUAACACUAACUGGAGGACCGAACCGACUAAUGUUGAAAAAUUAGCGGAUGACCUGUGGCUGGGGGUGAAAGGCCAAUCAAACCGGGAGAUAGCUGGUUCUCCCCGAAAGCUAUUUAGGUAGCGCCUCGUGAAUUCAUCUCCGGGGGUAGAGCACUGUUUCGGCUAGGGGGCCAUCCCGGCUUACCAACCCGAUGCAAACUGCGAAUACCGGAGAAUGUUAUCACGGGAGACACACGGCGGGUGCUAACGUCCGUCGUGAAGAGGGAAACAACCCAGACCGCCAGCUAAGGUCCCAAAGUCAUGGUUAAGUGGGAAACGAUGUGGGAAGGCCCAGACAGCCAGGAUGUUGGCUUAGAAGCAGCCAUCAUUUAAAGAAAGCGUAAUAGCUCACUGGUCGAGUCGGCCUGCGCGGAAGAUGUAACGGGGCUAAACCAUGCACCGAAGCUGCGGCAGCGAACGUAUCACCCAAGACAACUUUACGGAGUUGACGAUUGACGGAGCGAAGCGACGUCAAAGCGUUCAUUAAAGUCGAGUUGGCUUAGGGAUACGUUCGUUGGGUAGGGGAGCGUUCUGUAAGCCUGUGAAGGUGUGUCGUGAGGCAUGCUGGAGGUAUCAGAAGUGCGAAUGCUGACAUAAGUAACGAUAAAGCGGGUGAAAAGCCCGCUCGCCGGAAGACCAAGGGUUCCUGUCCAACGUUAAUCGGGGCAGGGUGAGUCGACCCCUAAGGCGAGGCCGAAAGGCGUAGUCGAUGGGAAACGGGUUAAUAUUCCCGUACUUGGUGUUACUGCGAAGGGGGGACGGAGAAGGCUAUGUUGGCCGGGCGACGGUUGUCCCGGUUUAAGCGUGUAGGUGUGUGUUCCAGGUAAAUCCGGUUCACUUUAACACUGAGGCGUGACGACGAGGCACUACGGUGCUGAAGCAACAAAUGCCCUGCUUCCAGGAAAAGCCUCUAAGCAUCAGGUAACACGAAAUCGUACCCCAAACCGACACAGGUGGUCAGGUAGAGAAUACCAAGGCGCUUGAGAGAACUCGGGUGAAGGAACUAGGCAAAAUGGUGCCGUAACUUCGGGAGAAGGCACGCUGACACGUAGGUGAAGUGAUUUACUCAUGGAGCUGAAGUCAGUCGAAGAUACCAGCUGGCUGCAACUGUUUAUUAAAAACACAGCACUGUGCAAACACGAAAGUGGACGUAUACGGUGUGACGCCUGCCCGGUGCCGGAAGGUUAAUUGAUGGGGUCAGCGCAAGCGAAGCUCCUGAUCGAAGCCCCGGUAAACGGCGGCCGUAACUAUAACGGUCCUAAGGUAGCGAAAUUCCUUGUCGGGUAAGUUCCGACCUGCACGAAUGGCGUAAUGAUGGCCAGGCUGUCUCCACCCGAGACUCAGUGAAAUUGAACUCGCUGUGAAGAUGCAGUGUACCCGCGGCAAGACGGAAAGACCCCGUGAACCUUUACUAUAGCUUGACACUGAACAUUGAGCCUUGAUGUGUAGGAUAGGUGGGAGGCUUUGAAGUGUGGACGCCAGUCUGCAUGGAGCCGACCUUGAAAUACCACCCUUUAAUGUUUGAUGUUCUAACGUGGACCCGUAAUCCGGGUUGCGGACAGUGUCUGGUGGGUAGUUUGACUGGGCGGUCUCCUCCUAAAGAGUAACGGAGGAGCACGAAGGUUGGCUAAUCCUGGUCGGACAUCAGGAGGUUAGUGCAAUGGCAUAAGCCAGCUUGACUGCGAGCGUGACGGCGCGAGCAGGUGCGAAAGCAGGUCAUAGUGAUCCGGUGGUUCUGAAUGGAAGGGCCAUCGCUCAACGGAUAAAAGGUACUCCGGGGAUAACAGGCUGAUACCGCCCAAGAGUUCAUAUCGACGGCGGUGUUUGGCACCUCGAUGUCGGCUCAUCACAUCCUGGGGCUGAAGUAGGUCCCAAGGGUAUGGCUGUUCGCCAUUUAAAGUGGUACGCGAGCUGGGUUUAGAACGUCGUGAGACAGUUCGGUCCCUAUCUGCCGUGGGCGCUGGAGAACUGAGGGGGGCUGCUCCUAGUACGAGAGGACCGGAGUGGACGCAUCACUGGUGUUCGGGUUGUCAUGCCAAUGGCAC
rnacentral:rRNA from 1 species